AUUGAACGCUGGCGGCAUGCUUUACACAUGCAAGUCGAACGGUAACAGGCCACAAGGUGCUGACGGGUGGCGAACGGGUGAGUAAUGCAUCGGAACGUGCCCAGUCGUGGGGGAUAACGCAGCGAAAGCUGCGCUAAUACCGCAUACGAUCUAUGGAUGAAAGCGGGGGACCGUAAGGCCUCGCGCGAUUGGAGCGGCCGAUGUCAGAUUAGGUAGUUGGUGGGGUAAAGGCUCACCAAGCCAACGAUCUGUAGCUGGUCUGAGAGGACGACCAGCCACACUGGGACUGAGACACGGCCCAGACUCCUACGGGAGGCAGCAGUGGGGAAUUUUGGACAAUGGGCGCAAGCCUGAUCCAGCAAUGCCGCGUGCAGGAAGAAGGCCUUCGGGUUGUAAACUGCUUUUGUACGGAACGAAACGGUCCUGGUUAAUACCCGGGGCUAAUGACGGUACCGUAAGAAUAAGCACCGGCUAACUACGUGCCAGCAGCCGCAGUAAAAC
rnacentral:rRNA from 1 species